rnacentral:piRNA from 1 species
UGAGCAUAGCUUCUCUAAUGUUUCUAG